CGUUUUCAUACACCUCGUCCAGCGAGAUGGUAUGAUCGCAGGCCCAACCCAGCGGACUGGGUUCUUCGUCGAAGUUGUCAAAGUCACGCUGCGAACCUUGCUUGUGAAUGGCAACCCGGCUGGGCCCGGAAAGGAACAGAAUUGUAUCGCCACCGUCGUCGCU
rnacentral:SRP_RNA from 13 species